ACGAACGCUGGCGGCGUGCUUCACACAUGCAAGUCGAACGGAAAGGCCCUGCUUUUGUGGGGUGCUCGAGUGGCGAACGGGUGAGUAACACGUGAGUAACCUGCCCUUGACUUUGGGAUAACUUCAGGAAACUGGGGCUAAUACCGGAUAGGAGCCCCUGCUGCCUGGUGGGGGUUGGAAAGUUUCGGCGGUUGGGGAUGGACUCGCGGCUUAUCAGCUUGUUGGUGGGGUAGUGGCUUACCAAGGCUUUGACGGGUAGCCGGCCUGAGAGGGUGACCGGCCACAUUGGGACUGAGAUACGGCCCAGACUCCUACGGGAGGCAGCAGUGGGGAAUAUUGCACAAUGGGCGGAAGCCUGAUGCAGCAACGCCGCGUGCGGGAUGACGGCCUUCGGGUUGUAAACCGCUUUCGCCUGUGACGAAGCGUGAGUGACGGUAAUGGGUAAAGAAGCACCGGCUAACUACGUG
rnacentral:rRNA from 1 species